GGUUGAAAGCUUUUUGCAGGGCUAUAUAAGGGGAAAAAGUCUGUGUUCAACAAACUACUAUCAAACCUACACCGUCGCUCUACAGAGACAUCAUGAGAACCACUGCAGCCGUCCUAUUGGUCCUCUGUCUCCUGGCCGUCAGUCAUGCCUGGGACUGUCAUCCUGUAGUGGAUAUCAAGAAUCUGAUGCAGGACUGGGACAAGUGGUUGCAACGGACACAAAUCAAAUCCCCUUACUACCUGAGACGGCAUCACAGCCAGUAAACCAGAGGGCACUGGAUGGAGCAAUAUCCCAAUGUACAUGCCAAUGAAGCACGUGACCUAUGACCUGGGCCGUCUUUGGGUCAUCUCCAAUUCUGGCUUCACCAUGGUGUGCACACAUUAGCCUCUCCUCUGCAUCUGAAGGCCGUUCGGGAUCUGACAAGCUCACUUGCUAACUCAUUGAUCUCUCUGUCUGGAACAAUCUCAAUUCUCAACAAUAAUUCACAAGAAUCCUUCACUCUAAAACCUAUUGCUCUAACUAUAUUGUCAGUACUUUAUCUCUAUCAAAAAUAAACACUGAUCUUAAUGAUAUUACAAAAUAACUUAUCAAUGAUGUUUUCUUACACAAUUUGACAUUGUAUUAUUGAUCAACACUUCAAUUGAGCUUUGCCAUGGCUGCUAUUUGAUCGUAGUGUAAACUUGGUCACGGUCACGAUCCACAUGGGUUUUGCUGUGCUUCAGAGGUCAUCAAUAGGAUUGAAUGGAAUCCUUGUCAUUAUAUAAUAAUUUCCUGCAAAUAAAGCAUUAAUUUUGAAACUCA